AUACUUUAGCAGCAUAUAUACUAAAAUUGGAAUGAUGCAGAGAGCAAUAGCAUGAACCCUUCACAAGAAUUACAUGUAAAGUGAUGAAAAAUUCCAUAUUUUA